UAGCGUAGGAAACUUGCACAAGGCACCUUCUAGCAAGUCCAUUAGCAACAAUACUCUUUGCAGCUUGUCUUACAAUGUAGGCUCCACUUCUGUCAACUUUGGUUGGGUCUUUUCCUGAGAAAGCACCACCACCAUGUGCACCCCAACCACCGUAUGUGUCGAUGAUGAUCUUGCGGCCGGUUAGACCCGCGUCACCGUGAGGUCCACCGAUGACGAAACGGCCGGAAGGGUUCAAGUGGAAGAUUGUUUUCUCAUCAAGAUACUUCUCAGGGAUCACAGGCUUGAUCACAUGCUCUUUCAAAUCAGCUGCAAUUUCAUCGUUGGUGACAGUUUCGUCGUGCUGUGUCGAGAUAAGGACAGUGUGGACACGGAUUGGAACCAUGGCACCCUUAUCAUUGUAAUACUCAACAGUGACUUGUGUUUUCCCAUCAGGUCUCAACCAAGGGCAUGUCCCGUUCUUGCGAACCUCGGUGAGCUUGGCGCCCAACUUGG
rnacentral:lncRNA from 1 species